AUUUGCUUUAAUAACGAGCAGGUGCUUAGAAUUAAUGCAGGGAAGGAAAAGCCUGUGAAGGGACCUGAGCGAGCCCGAAUCCAGGUCAAGCCUGAGGAGACGUCCAGCCAUGUACCACACAGUUAUCAGAUCCAGCACGCAUGUGGAGAAAGCCUGGCUUUUGUGAGAUGUCGAACUCUCAGCUCCUCCUGCACCAUGCCCGCCUGGAUAGCUCCAUGCUUCCCACCUUGAUGAUGAUGGACUGAACCUCUGAAAUGAAAAUGCAUGGACCCCCAGAGACAACAGACUCCAAAUUGAGAAAACUGCAUCAGAAAGAUAAAUGCUGGCCUCCAGCUAUUUACUGGGGCUCUAAAACUAUAAGGCUGCAAUCAUAGUAUUCCAGAAUGCCCAAAGCAUGUUCUUGUUUAAAA
rnacentral:lncRNA from 1 species